UACGAAGGAUGCAAGCGUUAUCCGGAUUCAUUGGGUUUAAAGGGAGCGUAGGUGGCCUUAUAAGUCAGUGGUGAAAUCUCUCAGCUUAACUGAGAAAUUGCCAUUGAUACUGUAGGGCUUGAGUAUAGUUGCCGUUGGCGGAAUAUGACAUGUAGUGGUGAAAUACAUAGAGAUGUCAUAGAACACCGAUUGCGAAGGCAGCUGACGAAACUAUAACUGACAACUGAGGCUCGAAAGUGCGGGGAUCAAACAGG
rnacentral:rRNA from 1 species